rnacentral:rRNA from 1 species
GUUGUAUGGUUAAGUGACUAAGCGUACACGGUGGAUGCCUUGGCAGUCAGAGGCGAUGAAGGACGUAUUAACUUGCGAUAAGCCCAGAUUAGGUAGUAAAAACCAUUUGAGUCUGGGAUUUCCGAAUGGGGAAACCCAAUACCAUAAGGUAUUACUGUUGAGUGAAUACAUAGCUCAACAGGGCGAACCGGGGGAACUGAAACAUCUAAGUACCCCGAGGAAAAGAAAUCAACCGAGAUUCCGAAAGUAGCGGCGAGCGAAAUUGGACUAGCCCUUAAGCUUUACACGCGUUAGACGAACAGCCUGGAAAGGCCGACGAUACAGGGUGAUAGUCCCGUAGUUGACGACGUGUGUUCAGUGAAAUCGAGUAGGGCGGGACACGUGAUAUCCUGUCUGAAUAUGGGGGGACCAUCCUCCAAGGCUAAAUACUACUGACUGACCGAUAGUGAACCAGUACCGUGAGGGAAAGGCGAAAAGAACCCCUGUGAGGGGAGUGAAAUAGAACCUGAAACCGUGUACGUACAAGCAGUAGGAGCAGGCUUGUCCUGUGACUGCGUACCUUUUGUAUAAUGGGUCAGCGACUUAUAUUCAGUGGCAAGGUUAACCAUCUAGGGGAGCCGUAGGGAAACCGAGUCUUAACUGGGCGUUCAGUCUCUGGAUAUAGACCCGAAACCAGGUGAUCUAGCCAUGGGCAGGUUGAAGGUUGAGUAACAUCAACUGGAGGACCGAACCGACUAAUGUUGAAAAAUUAGCGGAUGACUUGUGGCUAGGGGUGAAAGGCCAAUCAAACCUGGAGAUAGCUGGUUCUCCCCGAAAGCUAUUUAGGUAGCGCCUCGGACGAAUACUACUGGGGGUAGAGCACUGUUAAGGCUAGGGGGUCAUCCCGACUUACCAACCCUUUGCAAACUCCGAAUACCAGUAAGUACUAUCCGGGAGACACACGGCGGGUGCUAACGUCCGUCGUGGAGAGGGAAACAACCCAGACCGCCAGCUAAGGUCCCAAAUUACUACUAAGUGGGAAACGAUGUGGGAAGGCUCAGACAGCCAGGAUGUUGGCUUAGAAGCAGCCAUCAUUUAAAGAAAGCGUAAUAGCUCACUGGUCGAGUCGGCCUGCGCGGAAGAUGUAACGGGGCUAAGUAGUAAACCGAAGCUGCGGCAAUAUACUUUU